GGACAACCUGCCCUUAGGACGGGUAUAAACCCGGGAAACUGGGUAUAAUUCCCGAUAGGUCUCGUCUGCUGGAAUGCAUCGAGAUCCAAAGCUCCGGCGCCUAAGGAUGGGUCUGCGGCCUAUCAGGUAGUAGUGGGUGUAGCGUACCUACUAGCCUACGACGGGUACGGGUUGUGAGAGCAAGAGCCCGGAGAUGGAUUCUGAGACACUAAUCCAGGCCCUACGGGGUGCAGCAGGCGCGAAAACUUUACAAUGCUGGGAACAGCGAUAAGGGAACCUCGAGUGCCAGGUUACAAAUCUGGCUGUCGUGAUGCCUAAAAAGCAUUAUAUAGCAAGGGCCGGGCAAGACCGGUGCCAGCCGCCGCGGUAACACCGGCGGCUCGAGUGGUAACCGUUAUUAUUGGGUCUAAAGGGUCUGUAGCCGGCCGGAUAAGUCUCUUGGGAAAUCUGGCAGCUUAACUGUCAGGCUUUCAGGGGAUACUGUCUGGCUCGAGGCCGGGAGAGGUGAGAGGUACUUCAGGGGUAGGGGUGAAAUCUUGUAAUCCUUGAAGGACCACCAGUGGCGAAGGCGUCUCACCAGAACGGACCUGACGGCAAGGGACGAAAGCUAGGGGCACGAACCGGAUUAGAUACCCGGGUAGUCCUAGCCGUAAACGAUACUCGCUAGGUGUCGGCCACGGUGCGACCGUUGUCGGUGCCGUAGGGAAGCCGUGAAGCGAGCCACCUGGGAAGUACGGCCGCAAGGCUGAAACUUAAAGGAAUUGGCGGGGGAGCACAACAACGGGUGGAGCUUGCGGUUUAAUUGGAUUCAACGCCGGAAAUCUUACCGGGACCGACAGCAACAUGAAGGCCAAGCUGAAGACUUUGCCGGAUUAGCUGAGAGGUGGUGCAUGGC
rnacentral:rRNA from 1 species